GUAUUUAAAACUGGAAAGAUAGAGGAGAGACUAUUACACACUGAAGAAGCCGCUGAAACCGGAGGGUAUGCGGAGAAACGGGUUUGGAGACUCAUCUGCUGGCUAGACACCACACUUUGCUGCUUAAUUGAAGUGUUGGAGAAUCGGCUGUCAUUUUCUCUUUGGAGCUUCACCUACUGGCUAAACACCACACUUUACUGCCUAUUGAAGUGUUGGAGAAUUGGCCGCUAUCGCACUAAGGAGAGGCACCUUCUAUACCUAUAAAAAGGAACACUGCACAGAUUUCCUAUUGUCCACCAUACCCCAUGGAUGAGGCUGCCAUGCUUCCAGCCAUCUAAGGAAAGGGCCUUCAGCACACAUCCCUCCACCCCAGCACUGCAUCUCCACCAUCUUAUCCAAGCCACGAAGCAGUAUCAUGGUAUCCCCAGACCAACAGUCACCUCACCUUGUUCUGCACAUCUUGUUGUGCCAGUGAUCUGCUUUUUGAUCUCUUCCUCGCCUCUGAUAGCCAGCAGCUCCCGUACUUCCUCAUCCCUCCAGUGAGCAGCCAUGUUUCCUCUCCUGAAAAAAGAAGAAAUAAUUGCUGUGCCUAUGUCUACCAGUUAUACGUUAAGCAGGACUGAUAUCCUCAACCUGGAAUUAACAGUGUCAAAUGUACGUACGCCUCUAUAAGGAGUUGUGUGCUACUCCUGCAGCUAUAUGAAUCAGAACAAAAG